UACGUAGGGUGCAAGCGUUUGUCCGGAAUUAUUGGGCGUAAAGAGCUCGUAGGCGGUCUGUCGCGUCUGCUGUGAAAACUCGGGGCUUAACCCCGGGCCUGCAGUGGGUACGGGCAGACUAGAGUGCGGUAGGGGAGACUGGAAUUCCUGGUGUAGCGGUGAAAUGCGCAGAUAUCGGGAGGAACACCUAUGGCGAAGGCAGCUCGCUGGGACGUUACUGACGCUGAGACGCGAAAGCGUGGGGAGCAAACAGG
rnacentral:rRNA from 1 species